UAGUUGUAAUAUACAGAAAUUGCUAUGCCAAACCAGGAACUAUUUUGGUUACCCCAAAAUAAAAUAAUAAUAAUAAAAUCUUGGACCCGAGAUGCAAAAACUCCUAAAUGCAAUUUCCCAAGAAGGAAGUUAGCCCACCAAAAUAAUACAAAAGUAUCACCUCGAGUGAAAUUUGUACAACGAGCUCAAUAUGAAUUCAAUACAUCAACAGUACAAUAGACUUCGAUAUCGGCUAUGUAUCCCGCGUCGGAAACGCAAGGGUCUGAAACUUUCCAGUAAAUUUCCCAUGGGAAGUUCAGCCUGGGAAUUCUGGGAAUUUUGCUAAAAUUCAUUUUUUUUUUAAAGUUAGCUUAUAACAGUGAUUUGUUUUGUGUGUGGGAUGGGAUACACAAGGCAAUUCUAGAUAUUGUGGCAUAUUUUGGUUAAACUCCCCAGUUCAAGGGAACCCUCUGCAUGCACAGUGCAUUCUUCCAUCACAUGUACAGUACACUCUUCCGUCACAUGUACAGCUGAUUCUCAAGAUCUUGCGCACUAAUGAGAUGCUAUUCAGCCCACACUACUACACUGUCUGAGCAAAGGACUACAUGCUUUCUGGUAAGUUGAGAUUACAAUACUGGGCGGGGUAAAUAUAUUUUAUGACAUACAUGAUUUUUUGUUAACUAGUAAAUAGUAGCCUACAGCAAAGUGUGUUUAAAUCAUUUUUAACUUGUUAACAAGUUCUGCUAGUUAGUUUUUGUUACCACGUGGGGUUUAGCUUGCUUGAGCCUACUAACUGAGGAUUGUUAAUUCACCUGUUUCCAUACAUGUUUAAUUUUUAAACAACUCCUUUGUACGAUAAUACAUUUAUCUAAUUGCUUAACUAUUUAUCUGUGCAUGGAAUUGUGUGUGUGUAUAAGUAAAUAUAUUUAUAUAUUUUUUUAUUUACUUAUACACACUCAAUUCCAUGCACAUAUAAUUAAGUGAUUUUCUAAUCUUUACAGGAAAAUGCCACGGGCACUAUCUGAUGUGUGGAGACAUUUCGCUGCAGCUAAUGUAGAAGGAAAAGCUGUGUACAUUUGCAAAUACUGUGCCAAAUCAUAUGUGAAGAAUGUAACACAUGCAGAAUCAUCUGGCCAAAGUGCACUCACAAGAACAACCUCUGACAAAAGUCCCUCUACUUCUAUUUGAGGUGAAAAUGAUGAAUCAGACACCUUAUCGAUAGCAACAGCUCAUGGUCCUCCUGGAAUCAGAAGUUUUCCAGAAGACUCAAUGGCGGAACGUAGUAAGAGAAAUGCUGACGAAUGUCUUGCUCAAGCUGUGUAUGCAGGUUCACCUCUGAUCCUCACAGGCAAUGUGUGUUGGAAGAGAUUUCUGAAUGUUCUUCGUCCAGCGUGUACACCCCUCCAACCAGACAUGCUUUAUCUACUAAUUUAAUGGAUGCAGAGUUCAAGUGAAGGUCAAGCAAAUCAUAGUGCAAGCAGACUAUAUUGCAAUCAUCUCUGACGGGUGGUCGAAUGUUCGUGGGCAAGGAAUAAUUAACUACAUCUCCACCCCUCAACCAGUAUUCUACAAGAGCACAGACACAAGGGACAACAGACACACCGGUCUCUACAUUGCAGAUGAGCUGAAGUCAGUCAUCAAUGACCUUGGAUAACCGAAGAUCAUUGGGACGCUAGCUUCCCACCUCGACAACAACAGACCGAUUUAAUCGAAAAAAAGACCCAAUAGUGAUUAUGGGACAUCUAGGUGUGCCAACAAAGAAGAUGGUCAAAGGGCAAUUGAACUGAUUCCAGAGACUGACCCAAAACACCGCUGGCGGAGGAGGGGUAGUCGACUUCUAGUCCGACUCGGGAGGCGAGCACACCGCCCACCGCUUCUGAGUAUAUUACUCAGUUUUGUUAAGUGUCUGGAUAAUAAAGUUGACGAUACUCUGUUUCAUGAAAACAUGGCUCUCUCAGUUCAUCGUGAAGAGAGGA